rnacentral:rRNA from 1 species
UACGGAGGGAGCGAGCGUUGUCCGAAGUUACUGGGCGUAAAGCGCGCGUAGGCGGGAAAUUAAGUGAGAGGUGAAAGGCUGGGGCUCAACCCCAUGCAGUGCUCCUCAUACUGGUUUUCUUGAGGGUGGUAGAGAGAAGUGGAAUGGCUGGUGUAGCGGUGAAAUGCGUAGAUAUCAGUCGGAACACCAGUGGCGAAGGCGGCUUCUUGGGCCAUUACUGACGCUGAGGCGCGAAAGCCAGGGGAGCGAACGGG